rnacentral:tRNA from 1 species
UUCAGAAUGGCCGAGUGGUCUAAGGCGCCAGACUCAAGUUCUGGUCUCCAGCAGGAGGCGUGGGUUCAAAUCCCACUUCUGACA